ACGGAGGGUGCAAGCGUUAAUCGGAAUUACUGGGCGUAAAGCGCGCGUAGGUGGCUUGAUAAGCCGGUUGUGAAAGCCCCGGGCUCAACCUGGGAACGGCAUCCGGAACUGUCAGGCUAGAGUGCAGGAGAGGAAGGUAGAAUUCCCGGUGUAGCGGUGAAAUGCGUAGAGAUCGGGAGGAAUACCAGUGGCGAAGGCGGCCUUCUGGACUGACACUGACACUGAGGUGCGAAAGCGUGGGUAGCAAACAGG
rnacentral:rRNA from 1 species